GCGGUGUAAAAUGAGCUUGCGUCCUAUUAGCUAGUUGGUGAGGUAAUGGCUCACCAAGGCUACGAUGGGUAGGGGUUCUUAGUGGAAGGUCCCCCACACUGGCACUGAGAUACGGGCCAGACUCCUACGGGAGGCAGCAGUAGGGAAUAUUGGUCAAUGGGCGCAAGCCUGAACCAGCCAUGCCGCGUGCAGGAUGAAGGCUCUCUGAGUUGUAAACUGCUUUUGUACAGGAGCAAAAAAAUCCCUGCGGGGGUUCUUGAGAGUACUGUAAGAAUAAGCACCGGCUAAUUCCGUGCCAGCAGCCGCGGUAAUACGGGAGGUGCAAGCGUUAUCCGGUUUUAUUGGGUUUAAAGGGUGCGUAGGCGGCUUAUUAAGUCAGUUGUGAAAUCCUAGUGCUUAACGCUAGAACUGCGAUUGAUACUAUUAGGCUUGAGUUAAGGAAGAGGU
rnacentral:rRNA from 1 species